rnacentral:rRNA from 1 species
CUUAUAUUCUGUAGCAAGGUUAACCGAAUAGGGGAGCCGAAGGGAAACCGAGUCUUAACUGGGCGUUAAGUUGCAGGGUAUAGACCCGAAACCCGGUGAUCUAGCCAUGGGCAGGUUGAAGGUUGGGUAACACUAACUGGAGGACCGAACCGACUAAUGUUGAAAAAUUAGCGGAUGACUUGUGGCUGGGGGGGAAAGGCCAAUCAAACCGGGAGAUAGCUGGUUCUCCCCGAAAGCUAUUUAGGUAGCGCCUCGUGAAUUCAUCUCCGGGGGUAGAGCACUGUUUCGGCAAGGGGGUCAUCCCGACUUACCAACCCGAUGCAAACUGCGAAUACCGGAGAAUGUUAUCACGGGAGACACACGGCGGGUGCUAACGUCCGUCGUGAAGAGGGAAACAACCCAGACCGCCAGCUAAGGUCCCAAAGUCAUGGUUAAGUGGGAAACGAUGUGGGAAGGCCCAGACAGCCAGGAUGUUGGCUUAGAAGCAGCCAUCAUUUAAAGAAAGCGUAAUAGCUCACUGGUCGAGUCGGCCUGCGCGGAAGAUGUAACGGGGCUAAACCAUGCACCGAAGCUGCGGCAGCGACGCUUAUGCGUUGUUGGGUAGGGGAGCGUUCUGUAAGCCUGCGAAGGUGUGCUGUGAGGCAUGCUGGAGGUAUCAGAAGUGCGAAUGCUGACAUAAGUAACGAUAAAGCGGGUGAAAAGCCCGCUCGCCGGAAGACCAAGGGUUCCUGUCCAACGUUAAUCGGGGCAGGGUGAGUCGACCCCUAAGGCGAGGCCGAAAGGCGUAGUCGAUGGGAAACAGGUUAAUAUUCCUGUACUUGGUGUUACUGCGAAGGGGGGACGGAGAAGGCUAUGUUGGCCGGGCGACGGUUGUCCCGGUUUAAGCGUGUAGGCUGGUUUUCCAGGCAAAUCCGGAAAAUCAAGGCUGAGGCGUGAUGACGAGGCACUACGGUGCUGAAGCAACAAAUGCCCUGCUUCCAGGAAAAGCCUCUAAGCAUCAGGUAACAUCAAAUCGUACCCCAAACCGACACAGGUGGUCAGGUAGAGAAUACCAAGGCGCUUGAGAGAACUCGGGUGAAGGAACUAGGCAAAAUGGUGCCGUAACUUCGGGAGAAGGCACGCUGAUAUGUAGGUGAAGUCCCUCGCGGAUGGAGCUGAAAUCAGUCGAAGAUACCAGCUGGCUGCAACUGUUUAUUAAAAACACAGCACUGUGCAAACACGAAAGUGGACGUAUACGGUGUGACGCCUGCCCGGUGCCGGAAGGUUAAUUGAUGGGGUUAGCGCAAGCGAAGCUCUUGAUCGAAGCCCCGGUAAACGGCGGCCGUAACUAUAACGGUCCUAAGGUAGCGAAAUUCCUUGUCGGGUAAGUUCCGACCUGCACGAAUGGCGUAAUGAUGGCCAGGCUGUCUCCACCCGAGACUCAGUGAAAUUGAACUCGCUGUGAAGAUGCAGUGUACCCGCGGCAAGACGGAAAGACCCCGUGAACCUUUACUAUAGCUUGACACUGAACAUUGAGCCUUGAUGUGUAGGAUAGGUGGGAGGCUUUGAAGUGUGGACGCCAGUCUGCAUGGAGCCGACCUUGAAAUACCACCCUUUAAUGUUUGAUGUUCUAACGUGGACCCGUAAUCCGGGUUGCGGACAGUGUCUGGUGGGUAGUUUGACUGGGGCGGUCUCCUCCUAAAGAGUAACGGAGGAGCACGAAGGUUGGCUAAUCCUGGUCGGACAUCAGGAGGUUAGUGCAAUGGCAUAAGCCAGCUUGACUGCGAGCGUGACGGCGCGAGCAGGUGCGAAAGCAGGUCAUAGUGAUCCGGUGGUUCUGAAUGGAAGGGCCAUCGCUCAACGGAUAAAAGGUACUCCGGGGAUAACAGGCUGAUACCGCCCAAGAGUUCAUAUCGACGGCGGUGUUUGGCACCUCGAUGUCGGCUCAUCACAUCCUGGGGCUGAAGUAGGUCCCAAGGGUAUGGCUGUUCGCCAUUUAAAGUGGUACGCGAGCUGGGUUUAGAACGUCGUGAGACAGUUCGGUCCCUAUCUGCCGUGGGCGCUGGAGAACUGAGGGGGGCUGCUCCUAGUACGAGAGGACCGGAGUGGACGCAUCACUGGUGUUCGGGUUGUCAUGCCAAUGGCACUGCCCGGUAGCUAAAUGCGGAAGAGAUAAGUGCUGAAAGCAUCUAAGCACGAAACUUGCCCCGAGAUGAGUUCUCCCUGACCCUUUAAGGGUCCUGAAGGAACGUUGAAGACGACGACGUUGAUAGGCCGGGUGUGUAAGCGCAGCGAUGCGUUGAGCUAACCGGUACUAAUGAACCGUGAGGCUUAACCUU